CUACGUGCCAGCAGCCGCGGUAAUACGGAAGGUCCAGGCGUUAUCCGGAUUUAUUGGGUUUAAAGGGAGCGUAGGCUGGAGAUUAAGUGUGUUGUGAAAUGUAGACGCUCAACGUCUGACUUGCAGCGCAUACUGGUUUCCUUGAGUACGCACAACGUUGGCGGAAUUCGUCGUGUAGCGGUGAAAUGCUUAGAUAUGACGAAGAACUCCGAUUGCGAAGGCAGCUGACGGGAGCGCAACUGACGCUUAAGCUCGAAGGUGCGGGUAUCAAACAGGAUUAGAUACCCUGGUAGUCCGCACAGUAAACGAUGGAUGCCCGCUGUUGGUACCUGGUAUCAGCGGCUAAGCGAAAGCAUUAAGCAUCCCACCUGGGGAGUACGCCGGCAACGGUGAAACUCAAAGGAAUUGACGGGGGCCCGCACAAGCGGAGGAACAUGUGGUUUAAUUCGAUGAUACGCGAAGAACCUUACCCGGACUUGAUAUC
rnacentral:rRNA from 1 species